rnacentral:rRNA from 1 species
UACGGAGGAUGCGAGCGUUAUCCGGAUUUAUUGGGUUUAAAGGGUGCGCAGGCGGAUUUUUAAGUCAGCGGUCAAAUACGGGGGCUCAACCUGCGUCCGCCGUUGAAACUGGCGUUCUUGAGUGAGCGAGAAGUACGCGGAAUGCGCGGUGUAGCGGUGAAAUGCAUAGAUAUCGCGCAGAACUCCGAUUGCGAAGGCAGCGUACCGGCGCCAGACUGACGCUGAGGCACGAAAGCGUGGGGAUCGAACAGG